rnacentral:rRNA from 1 species
UACAGAGGUGGCAAGCGUUGUUCGGAAUUACUGGGCGUAAAGGGCGCGUAGGCGGUCUUCUAAGUCUUGUGUGAAAUCCCUCGGCUCAACUGAGGAACUGCACGGGAUACUGGAAGACUUGAGUUCGGGAGAGGGAAGCGGAAUUCCGGGUGUAGCGGUGAAAUGCGUAGAUAUGCGGAGGAACACCGAUGGCGAAGGCAAUCCCCUGGGCCUGUACUGACGCUCAUGCACGAAAGCGUGGGGAGCAAACAGG